rnacentral:rRNA from 1 species
AGCAAGUCUGAGUGUCUAUGGUUGAACAUGCCUGACGUCUUCUGAUCUCAGAAGCUAAGCAUCGUCAGGCCUAAUUAGAACUUGGAUGGGAGAGUGUCAGGUGAGUUGUUU